rnacentral:lncRNA from 1 species
UUGUUAGUUAGAUUUUAUUGGAAGGGUCUAUUGCAAAUCGUGAGCUGCUGAUGAGACAUGUAUGCAUGGCUCAAAUCAAUAGUAUCCCAUCAAGACAAAGAACAAGGUGAACUCAAGACAUAAAAAGGAGUUCCAUCAACGAAAUAUUUAACCGGAAAAGACAGGAAGUGUUCAAAUGUGCUCUAGACUCUGAUGAUCAGCACAAGGUGGACCGAAUCUCGCUAAAUGAUGCAGAUCUAGGGGUGAUCAAGGCGAGUGAUGAUCAGAUAAGAUUCUUUCUGGACAUUUGUUCUCAUGCUGGGAUCUGGAGACUGGAGUUGCAAUUGGCAUGUGAGUGUAACGGGGGUUUUCCGAUGUUUUUCGCAGCUAAACGCUUGUGUUCUACAUCAAGCUUAGUGGUUUCUCUCGAAUAAAAAAGUUUGAUCUAAGACAGAGGUAAAUGUCAACCUUAACAUCAACUCUUAAUCCUAUACAUUGCAAGCGAAACAUUGAGCCAAAAUAUUAGGAGUCUGUGUAAUGUAACAGACCACGUAGGCUAAACAAUCAUAUAGCCAUACAGGUGUUGCCUUACUUACCCCAUUCUUUCUGCAGUAGUCCUCGUCUG